rnacentral:rRNA from 1 species
ACCAGUACCGUGAGGGAAAGGCGAAAAGAACCCCGGCGAGGGGAGUGAAAAAGAACCUGAAACCGUGUACGUACAAGCAGUGGGAGCACGCUUAGGCGUGUGACUGCGUACCUUUUGUAUAAUGGGUCAGCGACUUAUAUUCUGUAGCAAGGUUAACCGAAUAGGGGAGCCGAAGGGAAACCGAGUCUUAACUGGGCGUUAAGUUGCAGGGUAUAGACCCGAAACCCGGUGAUCUAGCCAUGGGCAGGUUGAAGGUUGGGUAACACUAACUGGAGGACCGAACCGACUAAUGUUGAAAAAUUAGCGGAUGACUUGUGGCUGGGGGUGAAAGGCCAAUCAAACCGGGAGAUAGCUGGUUCUCCCCGAAAGCUAUUUAGGUAGCGCCUCGUGAAUUCAUCUCCGGGGGUAGAGCACUGUUUCGGCAAGGGGGUCAUCCCGACUUACCAACCCGAUGCAAACUGCGAAUACCGGAGAAUGUUAUCACGGGAGACACACGGCGGGUGCUAACGUCCGUCGUGAAGAGGGAAACAACCCAGACCGCCAGCUAAGGUCCCAAAGUCAUGGUUAAGUGGGAAACGAUGUGGGAAGGCCCAGACAGCCAGGAUGUUGGCUUAGAAGCAGCCAUCAUUUAAAGAAAGCGUAAUAGCUCACUGGUCGAGUCGGCCUGCGCGGAAGAUGUAACGGGGCUAAACCAUGCACCGAAGCUGCGGCAGCGACGCUGAUGCGUUGUUGGGUAGGGGAGCGUUCUGUAAGCCUGCGAAGGUGUGCUGUGAGGCAUGCUGGAGGUAUCAGAAGUGCGAAUGCUGACAUAAGUAACGAUAAAGCGGGUGAAAAGCCCGCUCGCCGGAAGACCAAGGGUUCCUGUCCAACGUUAAUCGGGGCAGGGUGAGUCGACCCCUAAGGCGAGGCCGAAAGGCGUAGUCGAUGGGAAACAGGUUAAUAUUCCUGUACUUGGUGUUACUGCGAAGGGGGGACGGAGAAGGCUAUGUUGGCCGGGCGACGGUUGUCCCGGUUUAAGCGUGUAGGCUGGUUUUCCAGGCAAAUCCGGAAAAUCAAGGCUGAGGCGUGAUGACGAGGCACU